UACGUAGGUGACCAGCGUUGUCCGGAUUUACUGGGCGUAAAGAGCGCGCAGGCGGUCGUUCAAGUCGCGUGUGAAAGCCCCCGGCUCAACUGGGGAGGGUCACGCGAUACUGAUCGACUCGAAGGCAGGAGAGGGUAGUGGAAUUCCCGGUGUAGUGGUGAAAUGCGUAGAUAUCGGGAGGAACACCUGUGGCGAAAGCGGCUCUCUGGACCACAACUGACGCUGAGGCGCGAAAGCUAGGGGAGCAAACAGG
rnacentral:rRNA from 1 species